UGCUGGGGGAGCCAAAACGCGACGCGCGCGGCUGAGAGAAUAUAAUUCGACCCUUGGAACUUGAACCGGCUAAUACCGGCGUAAGGAAGCAUCUGA
rnacentral:ncRNA from 1 species